rnacentral:lncRNA from 1 species
UGAUCAUUUGUAUUUUUUCUAUGCAUUGACUUUGUGUGCGAUAAGUUCCCGUGUAUGUUUACCCCAUAUUCCUUUAUUUUCUGUCUGAACACGACUUAAUGCAAGUUUAACCCUUCAAUGUAAAAGGUCAUAUGGCAAUACAUUGUUGUUGUUUUUUUCAAAUGAUUUGGUACCGGGAAAUCGGUGGUCUUACUUAAUUUAAACCAUGUCAGCUAUGUAGUUUUGUCCACAUGCGCUUGGGUAUAUGAUACAUAUAUAUUUUUAUUUUUUGUUGUUGUUGAUCAAAAUAGUCAAUUUUCUAUAUUUAUAAUACAUAUGUAUCCCUUUUGUGCAUGUCUCAGAGAAAAUACCCAAUUUAACAAUCCAUACUAAGAAAAAUUGGGUAUUUUCUCUGAGUCGUUUAGAUCACUCGAAACUAG